rnacentral:rRNA from 1 species
UACGUAGGUGGCAAGCGUUGUCCGGAUUUAUUGGGUUUAAAGGGUGCGUAGGCGGCUUUGUAAGUCAGUGGUGAAAUACUCCAGCUCAACUGGAGAGGUGCCAUUGAUACUGCAGAGCUAGAGUACUGAUGAGGUAGGCGGAAUUGACGGUGUAGCGGUGAAAUGCUUAGAUAUCGUCCAGAACACCGAUAGCGAAGGCAGCUUACUAAAGAGUAACUGACGCUGAGGCACGAAAGUGUGGGGAUCAAACAGG